AUUUACACUUCGCGUUCUGUUUCACUUUCCUGGUGUUGAUCUUUGUCUUGAAUUUUCGAACACAAUCAGCGCGAAAGGAAGCACAGCUCUGAGAAUAUGAAAUCCAAUGCUUAUACAUCGUAUAUCUGCAUGCAAUGAGAGAUGUUUAGACAUCGCCCAAAUCAUAUCUACCGACUUGGACUCACUGCAUUCUCUACCGAAAGACAGGAAGCAGAAAGGCACCACUUAUUAAACAUUUUACUAGCGACAGUAGUACAGUCCAUGAAAAAUAUUUCACAUGGUCAUUAUUCAAACAAGAGGAACUGAGAUCCUCUCAGUACAUAUUUUUACCAUAUUUAUUAAAGUGUCUUCUGUUUUAUGCAAGUUAAAAAGAAAAUCAAAACAGUAGUUGAAUGUGUACAGCUUGGUGGCAUUUAAAUGGACUAGCAGAGAGCCGUAGUGGUAUUUAAGAUGGACUGCAAAGGGUUUAGUUCGAUAAUAUUUUACUUUGAAGAAAACUAUUUUAAACAAUUUUGAUCCCUUUUGACCAUUCUCAUGGAACAAGUUUACUGUAUGGUAAUUAGGAGCAUUUGCCUUUUUUUCAUGCAUCCACUUGAUCUCGUGUACUAAAAAUAUAACAAACCUAUUGUAUUGCUUUAAUUUCACUUCAGGACCUGGGUUAUAAUUUGGAGGUGCAUGGACUUAAAAAGAAGAAAUGUAGCUGUUCAAAUAGAGAACAUCCUAAUGAUGGAGGCAGCAGUGGCCUCUGAAAUGUUAGUAAACUUGUACCAGGCUACAAAUUGCACAUCACUACAACCCAGAAACCAGCCAUCUUUCUACUCACUACCAUGAGAACAAAUUGUGAAUGACAAACGGAUGCAAUUGGGAAAUACGUCAUGUGGGACGAGUUUCGUGGUAUUUGGUUUCUCGGCAUCAAAGUAGCAGUUCUGUUGGCUAUGCAGAUCAAAGUGGAGGAAAAGAUGGAAGGAAUGAUAGAUCAUAUGACACAUGAAGAAGGCCCUAAGAUUGCUGGUUCCUCUGUAAGCAGUAGACGUGUUAUUGAGGUGCAGACCCUCCAGUGAAGGAUCUGUGGGAGGUCUGCAGUUGCCUACUACUACUGAGGAUCUUACCAAGGUAAAUCCAAAAGCUCCAAAAGAAAGGUAACAGGUCACUGCAGGUUCUGAUUUUUUUUAUGUGGGCUACAAGCGUCAGGAUGAAGAUUUCUGUCUUCUGGGUUGUUGCAC